rnacentral:lncRNA from 1 species
GGAACCGAUUAAUCUUCGGAUUUCCUCAAUUAUUUUUCAAAGCUGCUAAAUCUGCUCUUUAAUAAACUUUGCUAAAGGGAAAAAAUAGGUUACUCUCCAUGGGUCACAUUAUUGGGUUAUUUUUGGUAAUAAAUCAGUCGACUCGUUCAGGAAGUAUCAUCGAAUGUUUUUGUUCACGUAGGACCGACUUUAAACGUAAAAUGGUGCAAAUUUACCAGACCGUACCGCUGAAGCAUGUGAAAUCCGAUGUUAUUGGCAGUGGUGAGAUCUUGGGCGUCCCUUUCUUCCACAGGAAAGGAGAAGCUGUUCUCGAUAUGAUUGGAGUGAAGCAAAAGUUCACUAUCCAGAUGCAACCAAACGGACAACUUAAGGUGAAUUUGGCCAUUCUUAGUUUCAACGAUAUGGCUUGGCAUCUCGAGGUCUCCUUCACGACGAAUUCGUAG